UCCCCUUGUGAAAAGGAGCAGGCCAUCAGAGGUUCAGGGAAAACCAACAAGUAUUGAGUUGCCAACUAAUCAGCAUCAUAUAGAAACAGAACAGUGGGCAUACUUUCUACACACAACAAAACCUCCAGUUUGCCAGCCACACUUGCAGCAUCUGUGAUAAAAACAUUUGACACAGACAUCUGAUACAUCAAUGAUAAUAAUGUUGAAGGAAAGCUGCGAUGAAAUCCUUAACUUUAAAACUUUACUUCAACAAUGAUAGCCCAUCAAUUUAAAUUUCCUUGUGCAUUGUAUUUACUACAAACAUUCUACAGCUACUCAAGUCAUUCCUGAUGAUUUAUGCACUUGCUUUUCUAAAAAAAAAAA